rnacentral:rRNA from 1 species
AGUGAGCGCUGGCGGUAGGCCUAACACAUGCAAGUCGAACGGCAGCACAGUAAGAGCUUGCUCUUACGGGUGGCGAGUGGCGGACGGGUGAGGAAUACAUCGGAAUCUACUUUUUCGUGGGGGAUAACGUAGGGAAACUUACGCUAAUACCGCAUACGACCUACGGGUGAAAGCAGGGGAUCUUCGGACCUUGCGCGAUCGAAUGAGCCGAUGUCGGAUUAGCUAGUUGGCGGGGUAAAGGCCCACCAAGGCGACGAUCCGUAGCUGGUCUGAGAGGAUGAUCAGCCACACUGGAACUGAGACACGGUCCAGACUCCUACGGGAGGCAGCAGUGGGGAAUAUUGGACAAUGGGCGCAAGCCUGAUCCAGCCAUACCGCGUGGGUGAAGAAGGCCUUCGGGUUGUAAAGCCCUUUUGUUGGGAAAGAAAAGCAGCAGGUUAAUACCCCGCUGUUCUGACGGUACCCAAAGAAUAAGCACCGGCUAACUUCGUG